AUACGUAGGGGGCAAGCGUUAUCUGGAUUUACUGGGUGUAAAGGGAGCGUAGACGGAAGGCCAAGUCUCAUGUGAAAGCCCGCGGCUCAACUGCGGGACUGCAUUGGAAACUGGUCAUCUGGAGUGCAGGAGGGGUAAGCGGAAUUCCUAGUGUAGCGGUGAAAUGCGUAGAUAUUAGGAGGAACACCGGUGGCGAAGGCGGCUUACUGGACUGUAACUGACGUUGAGGCUCGAAAGCGUGGGGAGCAAACAGGAUUAGAUACCCUGGUAGUCCACGCUGUAAACGAUGAUUACUAGGUGUUGGGGACCAAAGGUCCUCGGUGCCGCCGCAAACGCAUUAAGUAAUCCACCUGGGGAGUACGCCGGCAACGGUGAAACUCAAAGGAAUUGGCGGGG
rnacentral:rRNA from 1 species